UGAACGCUGGCGGUAUGCUUAACACAUGCAAGUCGAACGGAAACGAUACUAGCUUGCUAGUAGGCGUCGAGUGGCGGACGGGUGAGUAACGCGUAGGAAUCUGCCUGAUAGUGGGGGAUAGCCCGAAGAAAUUCGGAUUAAUACCGCAUAAUCUAUUCGUAGUAAAGUGGGGGACUUUCGAGCCUCACGCUAUCAGAUGAGCCUGCGUAAGAUUAGCUAGUUGGUAGGGUAAAAGCCUACCAAGGCGACGAUCUUUAGCUGGUCUGAGAGGAUGAUCAGCCACAUCGGGACUGAGACACGGCCCGAACUCCUACGGGAGGCAGCAGUGGGGAAUAUUGGACAAUGGGGGCAACCCUGAUCCAGCAAUACCGCGUGUGUGAAGAAGGCCUGAGGGUUGUAAAGCACUUUCAAUUGUGAAGAAAAGCUAGUGGUUAAUAGCCAUUAGCCUUGACGUUAACUUUAGAAGAAGCACCGGCUAACUCCGUGCCAGCAGCCGCGGUAAUACGGAGGGUGCAAGCGUUAAUCGGAAUUACUGGGCGUAAAGCGUGCGUAAGCGGUUUAUUAAGUCAGAUGUGAAAGCCCCGGGCUUAACCUGGGAACUGCAUUUGAAACUGGUCAACUAGAGUAUGGUAGACGAAAGUGGAAUUUCUGGUGUAGCAGUGAAAUGCGUAGAUAUCAGAACGAACAUCAAUGGCGAAGGCAACUUUCUGGACCAAUACUGACGCUGAGGUACGAAAGCGUGGGUAGCAAACAGGAUUAGAUACCUUGGUAGUCCACGCCGUAAACGAUGAUAACUAGCCGUUGGGGGGGAUUUACCCUUUAGUGGCGAAGUUAACGCGUUAAGUUAUCCGCUUGUGGAGUACGGCCGCAAGGUUAAAACUCAAAGGAAUUGACGGGGACCCGCACAAGCGGUGGAGCAUGUGGUUUAAUUCGAUGCAACGCGAAGAACCUUACCUGGUCUUGACAUCCUGCGAACUUUCUAGAAAUAGAUUGGUGCCUUCGGGAACGCAGUGACAGGUGCUGCAUGGCUGUCGUCAGCUCGUGUCGUGAGAUGUUGGGUUAAGUCCCGUAACGAGCGCAACCCCUAUCCUUAUUUGCCAGCACAUCAUGGUGGGAACUAUAAGGAGACUGCCGGUGAUAAACCGGAGGAAGGCGGGGACGACGUCAAGUCAUCAUGGCCCUUACGACCAGGGCUACACACGUGCUACAAUGGGAAGGACAAAGAGCCGCGAAGCCGCGAGGUGUAGCUAAUCUCAGAAACCUUUUCGUAGUCCGGAUUGGAGUCUGCAACCCGACUCCAUGAAGUCGGAAUCGCUAGUAAUCGUAGAUCAGAAUGCUACGGUGAAUACGUUCCCGGGUCUUGUACACACCG
rnacentral:rRNA from 1 species